rnacentral:rRNA from 1 species
CACUUGGGAAUCUGCCCAGUAGUGGGGGACAACAUUCGGAAACGGAUGCUAAUACCGCAUACGCACUACGGUGGAAAGUGGGGGAUCUUCGGACCUCACGCUAUUGGAUGAGCCCAAGUCGGAUUAGCUUGUUGGUGAGGUAAUAGCUCACCAAGGCGACGAUCCGUAGCUGGUCUGAGAGGACGAUCAGCCACACUGGGACUGAGACACGGCCCAGACUCCUACGGGAGGCAGCAGUGGGGAAUAUUGGACAAUGGGCGCAAGCCUGAUCCAGCAAUGCCGCGUGUGUGAAGAAGGCCU